GUGGAGGCCUAGUUGAAUGUAGUGGGUCAUAGUGUCAUGACUGUGGAGACUAUAUCUUGUCCCUGACCUCUUUCUCUCCUGUUUCCUUGCUCUCUGCUUCCUGGCUGACAUGAGGUGAGCAGCUUUUUUCCACCAUGAACAUCCACCAUGAUCUUUCUGUCACCCAGCCAUGGACUGAACCCUCUGAAAAGCAGGAGUACAAGCAGUAAGCUGGGCUUAGUGGCACAGACCUGUUAUCUCAGCACUUGGGAGGCUGAAACAAGAGGAUCUCCAUAAGUUUGCAGCCAGCCUGGGCUACAUGGUGACCUCAAUACCAGCCCAGAAUACACAACAAGACCAUGUCUCGUACAAAAGAAAGCAAAACAAGAUGAAAAAAGAAGACAGAAAAUUAAAAUUGAAAACAUUCAUGAAUGCACAUGAACACAUAAAUCAUGAAGAUGCCUUCCUUACCAGCCUACUGGAGAAGUAGAAGCCACGUAUUCAAGUGUUCACUAAUUUUCCCAGAGAACUGCCAGAGAAUUGGUGAACACAAGUAAUUCUGAGACACCCACCAGCCAACCUCCAAUAGAUAUUAACAACAGAUAACCAGAAAAAAUAAAGAUAAAAAUUGAAAAGAUCCUUGGACCACCCAUGUAUC